rnacentral:rRNA from 1 species
UACGUAGGGGGCAAGCGUUGUCCGGAAUCAUUGGGCGUAAAGCGCGUGUAGGCGGCUCGAUAAGUCUGCUGUGAAAGUCCAAGGCUCAACCUUGGGAUGCCGGUGGAUACUGUCGAGCUCGAGUCCGGAAGAGGAGUGUGGAAUUCCUGGUGUAGCGGUGAAAUGCGCAGAUAUCAGGAGGAACACCAAUGGCGAAGGCAGCACUCUGGGACGUGACUGACGCUGAGACGCGAAAGCGUGGGGAGCGAACAGG